AUGAAGAAGAGGUAGAUGAAUGAAAAAUCAAACCAAUUGGACGUGGCGUUGUUGUCUUCCCCCCUCCUCUUCUUUUUAUUCGUCUUCUUUUUAUUCUUCUU
rnacentral:tRNA from 13 species